rnacentral:rRNA from 1 species
GGUCCUACGGGACGCAGCAGUGAGGAAUAUUGGUCAAUGGCCGGAAGGCUGAACCAGCCAAGCCGCGUGAGGGAGGAAGGCGCAGAGCGUCGCAGACCUCUUUUGCCGGGGGACAAAAGGCCGGACUCGUCCGGUCCUGAGGGUACCCGGAGAAAAAGCAUCGGCUAACUCCGUGCCAGCAGCCGCGGUAAUACGGAGGAUGCGAGCGUUAUCCGGAUUUAUUGGGUUUAAAGGGUGCGCAGGCGGAGGCACAAGUCAGCGGUAAAAUCGCGGGGCUCAACCCCGCUCCGCCGUUGAAACUGUGG